GUUGCAAUAAACAAUUCUCUCAAACAACAAAUACUGACUUCUUUCCAUCCCUGCAAGCUUCCACUAUUGUUUCUUUUUCAGCUGCAUCUGGAACAUCUUAUCAAGAUAUAUGAGCAAGAAGAGCAGUCAAGUUGCUUGGAAUUCAAAAAUAAGAAGAUUUUUAAAAAGCAGAAAGGACUGUGAGAACACAUAAUCAAUUGGCUCUUAUGGGAAAAUAUCUAUCAUCGUUGCUCAUCAC
rnacentral:lncRNA from 1 species